CAUAAGAUACAGGCUGUGUCAUACUUGACUGCUCAGCUGUUAUAAGCCGCACAUGCCCAGCACCUGAGACACAGCUUUAAGUCAUUUUCAAACACAUUUGAAAAUGACUUAAGAGGAGGAGGGGGAUCAGCAUGAAAGACGUUUGAUUAUUAUGUUAUUAUGGUCCUGAUGCCAUGCAAAAAGCAAUAAUCAAUUAAUCCAGGGUGCAUGACAUGUAAAAAACUAACAUGAUUUCUGCAUUCUCUUGAUGUUAUAGGGGGAUGCCGCUGUUGAUGAGGUUGAGACAUGAUAACAACUGCGACUGCUGCAAUAUAGUUCUCAGCCACCAGCAGCAGCACUGACUGAGGAUGGAAUGAUUCACCAUGGGCUGUACUGACCAUAAUGGAAAGCAACUAAAGACCCUCCUUAUUUUUCUGCGAGAUGGAACAUUUUUCAGAGCAGACUGAUAGUGAAACAAGAGCAUCGUGUCCUUCAGAUGGCAUUCACAGAAUCAACAGUUGAUGGAGACUGCAGUGGAGAACCUGUGUGAGAGUGCAGGGGGAGGGAGAGGAACAACACCAUAGGAAGGUGGGGGUGGCAGAGGCAGGGAUGCAGAGGGAAAUCUCUGUGAGCACUCUUAAACUUCUGCCUGGAAAUAUGCGCACAUGAGUGUACAUGUGUAUUUUCACCUUUUCCAUUCCAAUCGGCCACAAGUCAGCUCAGCUGCCGCUCUCUGCGUUAUGGAUGUCAGAAACCAUGGCUGUUGCCAUGGUGAUGCCACACUGCAAUAUUCUUUUGCAGCUCGCCUGCCUGCCGAUGCUUGCAGCACUUCCAGGCUGGGAAAAACGACAGAGGAGGGAGGGGAAGGAAAAGGAGACAAGAGGAGAGACUCAAGUAGAGGGGUCUGCAGCAGGAUCCAACAGAAUGCUAAUCAUCCUUUCACGACAGUUUGUCCUUCAUUAUGCAGGAGACAAUGCCCAGGACCACAAGAGAGGACGUUAAUGCGUACGUACACACUGAGGCAUACGUACAAACACAUAUCCAUGCAUGAGCGAACACAUACACUCCACAUGUGCAUAUACAGGCUGAGACACACAAACAAGGUCAUUGCAUGAACACACAGACUCACGGUGCAGCAAAUACAGAGAUGAAUAAUCCACACACACUAACACGCUUCAACACACGUGUGUGCAUGGACACUGCAACAUGUGUCAGUACUGCGGGGCUUAAUCUGAUGGCAACCAGCAGUCUGCCCUGCUGCUGAAACAUCCACGCCAUUAACAAAUGCUCAAUUAUUAACGAGCCACAAAAUGGAUCUAAUUGCUCACUGCAGCCCAACAUCUCCAUGAGCAUUCUCAGGAUGUUUCUGGAGCAGCCAGAGUUAUUCCUGCUCAGUAAGCUCUCCGGGAAAAAAAAAAAGAGACACUGAUAUGCACAAUAUUCCCUGUGCUGUCAGGAUUUAGGGGUUAGACCACUGUAAAGAAUAUGGGAAGAGGGGGAGAUGCAAUUACUAUCCUGGCAAACUUGACUUUAAUCUCAAAAUCUUUAUUGAAUUCAGCAGAGACGGUGUUGUGGGUAUGUACAGUCCACACUGAAGUACAGAUCAGAGGCCAGGCCUGGUUUAAAGAGGUUGGGGACAAUGUCAAGGUCACAAGUCAUCUCUGGUGAAAGCACAUCAUCUGCAUACUGUAAUUAAAACUGCGAGCUUGAAGUGAAGUGCAGCCAGAAAAUAAGACUCAGGGGUCACUCUCCUCUCAUUUUAGAGACUCAAAGACUUAACUCCCUGCAUGAUCUCUGGCCCUUCUUUACUUUUAUUUUGGAGGGUAUUAAAUCAGUCAUCUUUUAUGAAGCAUUCCACAAGGAUCUAUUGUCAGCCUCUUGCCCUCUUCGCAGUUUCAUCUUCUUGCUAAUGCUAAUAAAGGAUGCAAAGGGGGAUGCCCUAGUUUUGCUAAUGGUAGCUCAUUAAGCUUAGCUUGCUGGAUUCAGAGCAGAGGGAUCACCCCUGGUGAUGCAGAGGAUUGACUUUGUCCAUGUUUCCACUUGGUUAUAAAGUAUGAGCAAGAUCAUUUUACCCACAGUCUGAACUAUAGCCAGUUAUCCACUUAUAGUAUUAAGAUGUACUUGUAUCUGUGACCAGGGCAUAGAUAUAGGCUGCAUGCAGGAGAACCCUCUUUAGUUAAAUACAUUUCUCUCACAAACACAUGCCAGUAUUGAUGAUCAUUCCACAGCGUGUUCGCACUGAAUAUGUAUCUAAACUAAAAAAGUGACUAAUAUUCCUGUAAACAAUGCAUAAGUACCCUUGUUGGGUCUGAGUCAAUAAGUAAACCCCCCCAGUGUGAUGGUUUACACAAUAAAUGCGGUGGACUAGGCACUGUGGCAGUUCAAUAACACCAUGUUGUCAUUAUUCAUACCCUUGGGUACAGCAGGUAGAUACAGCUCUGUGAACUCAAGGUCAAUGUUACUACCAAUUGUCCACAGUGGGGGAGGGAAAUGGCAAGGUGGGUGGAAGGGAGAUUCUGACAAGACAUGGGGGGGAGAGAGAAAGAGAAAAUGAAAAAUAAAACACACAGAGGGGAGUUGAAAAGGGAGGGGAGAGGUGGUCCAGCGUGAUGUGAGAGCUCACAGGAAACUGGGUAACUAAUGGUCCUUCUCUUUGCGCCAAUUACUGUUAGUCAGUCAGAGCUGGUUUCACUGGCCCUAUGGCCAUCCACCAUGGUCUCACCCUACCCCCAUCCACCCCCAUUCCACCUAAAUGGGUCUUCCAACCAAAAAUAGCACUGUGUUAAAAAACACAAGGGGCUAUGUUGGUGGGGGCGUGUUGCUACAGGUAGCAGGGAGAAAAUUAAAUACGAUCCAUUAAGCCCAGUUUGACUAAUCUGUUGAAUUUCCCUGCAGCAAAAGUUGAGCCAGGUUCAACAUUUUUGUGGGAUGACUCUGUGUUUAUUUUGUUUGGUUGGAUCUUUGCGCGUCAUGACCCCUGCUGUGUCAACACAGCAGCCUUACAGAAAUGAAUGAGGAAGCAGUGUUAUUUGAUGGAGUGAUAAACCAUUGUUCUUUACACAGUGUAACUCUCCUCUGUCUCUCUGAUAAUAUGUUUGUUUCUCUUCCUUAUAUUUUUAAUUACCUUAAAUACAGUGUUUCUCUAUACUGUGUUUCACCCCAGCCUCUCUCUUCUCCUUACCCUAUUUCUGGGUAUUUGGGUUGCCUUCUGGUUUCUGGUCCCACCUGACAAGCAUGGAGGCCCUAGGCACAGAGGAGCUCCAGGCUGCCUCUCCCCUAGCUGAGCCCCAAGGGUCCGCUGCUGCUGGUGCUGGAAAUCUGGCAGGCUGGGCAGGCACAAGGAGCCUCAGCCUCAGCCCAGGCAUGCAGAUCCAUGACCCCAAGGGGAGUGUGCAGACUACUACACAGAGUGGUUAAUAUAUUCACAACACUCCCCUGGCCAGGGGCUUAGAGUCUGAGAAUACUCCAUGAGGACCCAACUGCAUACACUAACAACAUUCACAAAUGAAUAUGUUUGGCAAGGCUUUGCUACACCCUCUUGGCAGGCUUAAAUAUAUAAGUGGCUAUCAUCACAAAGGAAAUACAAAUGUGCAAAGUAUACCUUCAGAAUAUGGCGAAAGGAGCACAAGAAUGUAAAAAAAAAAAAAAAAAAGUCUAGCAAGAUAUCAUGUACAGGUUUCGUCUUCAGGGAACUCCCACAGGAAUCUUUUCAUCAAGGACUGAGACAGAUUAAAAACUCAGAGAGGCUGACCUGCUCCCACUGUUCUUGGAUAAGUACUAUUUAUCACUUCACAAGAUUUUCAUUUAAUCAAAGACAUGAAAAAGUCAAAACUGGGUGCAAGACAGUGUCAGACACCGUUCCAUCCCCUGCAGGACCUGAGCAACAAGCAAGCAAACAACAUCCAUUCAAUACAAUCAAAAGAAGUCUCCAUAAAAAUCCACCAUUAGACCCUGGCUCCACUGCAGUGACCUUCUGAUAACCUCUGUUUAGUAGAAGGGUCAAUGAGGAUCCAUCCAAUGCCGUCAACUUCUAAGGACUUUGGGCUCUUGGGAGGCAGUUAACAGUCUCGUGGCCCACAUACAGAAGUCUAGGGGACUUGAAAGACAACUCAUUAGGGAAAAUCUCCACUUAGCUGUAUCCAUGGUCUGUGGUCUUCAAAGACAGAUGAUUUAAUCUCAGCUGCAGCGGAAUAAUUGCUCCUGCUUGUCGGUUGUUAGCAACAGCAGUAAAGUAAACACAGUCUUUUCUGUUCCAUUGAAUUACUUGUCAGCACAUAAAGGGAAUAAUACAUAGCAAUGUAAAAUAGAUUUUUCACCAAUGCUAUUGUUACUUUAACAAACCCAGUGACAUGGACUUAUCCAGUAAACAGGUAAUACAACAAAACCUAACAGAGGCCUCAAGGUGACAGCAGAUAACAUGUAUUGAUACACUCACAUUCAACAAAACAGAGCUGCAGUGUACUACAUUACUAUCCAUUCAGUGUCACAUGCAGAUACAGUACCCAUCCCAUUUGCACAGUAUCCCUCACUACACCAGCUCAAUCCAUUUUACCAUUACACUGCAUUAGUUGCCCUCGGCUUAAUGCGAGCCCAUAUUUUUUGUGUAACAACUUAAUAGAUUGAGGAACGAAUGAGUUCCACAGCCUCUUAUGUUUAAGCAGUGGAACGCUGAACCAUCUAUUUAACAGCGUGAGCAGAUAUUCUCAAAAAUAAAACAGAAAAAAAGACUAGACCCAAAGCUAUUUUAAUAUAUGCAGCUUGAAAUCUUCCUGACUCAAGCAUUUAACCCUCCAUCUUUAAGCAGUCUAGUGGACACAGUGGUGGUAAGCUGUGCAGAAAGACAGAAGGACAGCUGUACAAAAGAGUAAGGCCAUGCUGCAAAAUAUUUUACACUACAGCAAUAUUGGGAAAAUAACAACUCAAUCUGCCACUUUAGCCAUAAUGACUAAAUCCUCUGAGAAAAUAAAUAUGCAGUUGUGCCUUGCUAAUUCACAGUCUGCAUUCCCUUAAUACCACUGACAGUUAUGGGCUAAUAUGUCACGCUUAACUGAAAACACUCUUCACACACCAUCAACCAAGACACAGUAUGUUCAUUUUAGCCAACUAGGCACACUGCUGGACUAAUUCUGCACCAAUCUUGGGCAAUCUGAGUCUUCUCUAACCAAUCGCAGCAAAGCAGAGUUCAUUUCUACUCUACACCAUGCCACCUCUCCAGCAAGGAGAAAGUGAUGCCAAGUGCCUCUUUUCCAACAGGCCUUGCCAAAGUCUCACAUCCAAGCUGGCAAAUGUCCGGCCAUGGGAUGAGCACAGGAGGCAGCAAUGGCUCACAUCCUGACCCAAAAAUAACAAGCACAACAAAGAUGCUCGCGCUACAGCCCAAGGCGGACAUUUUGUUUUGCCUGAACUCCAAAUAUAGAGGCAAUUUUUAGUGAAAAUCUGUGUCACUGGGAUUCUCCCAGCUGAGGCCAAUCAUGUUAUAUCAACAUAAAAAAAUAA